rnacentral:rRNA from 1 species
CCGCGCCACGAGUGGGGACCUCGUUUAUUGGGCCUAAAGCGUCCGUAGCUGGUUUAGUAAAUCUCCUGUGAAAUCGUUGGGCUUAACCUAACGGCGUGCAGGGGACACUACCAGACUUGGAACCGGGAGGAGUUAGGAGUAUUCUGGGGGGAGCGGUAAAAUGCUAUAAUCCUCGGAAGACUACCUGUGGCGAAGGCGCCUAACCAGAACGGAUUCGACAGUGAGGGACGAAAGCUAGGGGAGCGAACCGGAUUAGAUACCCGAGUAGUCC